rnacentral:rRNA from 1 species
GGAGGGGGGCAAACGUUGUUCGGAAUUACUGGGCGUAAAGGGCGCGUAGGCGGAUUAUCAAGUCAGAGGUGAAAGCCCUGGGGCUCAACCUGGGAACUGCCUUUGAAACUGAUAGUCUUGAGUCCCGAGAGAGGAUGGCGGAAUUCCCAGUGUAGAGGUGAAAUUCGUAGAUAUUGGGAAGAACACCAGUGGCGAAGGCGGCCAUCUGGCUCGGUACUGACGCUGAGGCGCGAAAGCGUGGGGAGCAAACAGGAUUAGAUACCCUGGUAGUCCACGCCGUAAACGAUGUGUGCUAGCCGUUGGAAAACCUAGUUUUUCAGUGGCGCAGCUAACGCAUUAAGCACACCGCCUGGGGAGUACGGUCGCAAAGAUUA